rnacentral:lncRNA from 1 species
UUAGGUACAUCAGGAACUUAAAAGAUAUUGAUUGUUUUAGGAAUUUAGAAUGCAAGAACCAAAGAAGAGUGCAUAAAGACCAAGUUUCCCAUUUUUCAACACAAGGUAGUAAAUAUCAAAAUACACAUGCACAAGAUGAAACAUUGAGAUUUCACAUAAUCAGCUAUUGAAACAAAAAUAAAGAGGUUUGUGAUUUAAGACUAAGAGCCCAUUAAAGAGGUAUUCUACUGUUUAUUGCUGGAGCCUCUACUCUUUUAGAAAGAGCAACAGGUACUUCAUGGACUGGCUUCUUAGUUACUUCGGGCCCUUUAAAGAUAGUGUUUUUAUUUUUGAGAAGUAACAUAUGUAAAGAAUCAACGUAAAAUACACAAACACAAAGCGGGGGGGGGGAAUGACAUAGCACAAACAUGGUUGCAACAGAGUCAUAAAUGGGGAAUGCAAAUGACACACCACACAAAGCAAACGUUUAUGUUGAACAUCCUGUGUGGACAGCAUCACAGUUCAACAUCAUUACAACAAACACAUUCCUGUUUUGGGGAGAUGUACCUUUGGCAGGAGGAGCCACUGCUUUCUUAAGACCAGGAGGAGGCACCUUCUUUUCUGGUUCAGGUUUCUUAGGCACCACAGGCACUUUAAAGAUAUCAUUUGAUUUUAUAAUUUAAGAUACACAAACACAGAGACACCAGACACAGCAAUAAUACAACUUAUAGUAACAGAUAUUGAAACAGAACACUGGGACUUUUACGGAUAGAAAGAAGUGGCAGUGUCUAAUUUGCUUGGGAGUAGCAGUACCUGUGGCGGGGGGAGCCUCCUUUUUCUUAGGAAUGAUCAUUUUCUUCUCUGGCACUUUCUUCUUAACCUCAGGCACUUCAAAGACAUCAUUUCAUGAUAAGAAUUUAUUGUGAGGGACAAAAAAGAGAGAACACAAGAAGUCCACACACAGAAAGAACACAUACAACAGUUGCUCAGGGUAGAGAUAUAGGGUAGAUCAGGAGCCCAAUGUUAAGCAAGGGAUCAGCAACCUAUUUGAAUAUCAGAGGACAGAUGCUGUCAUUUCAUCCAUCUAAAUUUCACUAGGAAUUUAUUGAAUCAUUAUCUAUAAAGUAUUUCUGAAUUCUUGAAAUCUAAUAAAGGACCAGCAUGGGGUAUCUGGGUGGCUCAGUCGGUUAAGCAUUGGACUUCAGCUCAGGUCAUGAUCUUGCCGUUUGUGAGUUCGAGCCCCGCAUCGGGCUCUAUGCUGACAGGUCGGAGCCCGGAGCCUGCUUCAGAUUCUGUGUCUCCCUCUCUAUAUCUGCCCCUACCCCACUCGCACUCUCUCUCUCUAAAAAAUAAAUUAAAACAUUAAAAAAUUUUGAUAAAGGACCAGCUUUACCAUUUCACUGCUCAUAUGAUAUUUAACCUGGUGGAGAGGUUAUGCUUAUUUUAAGUAGUGAUGCCAUGACCUUUUGCAGAAAAUACUGAGCUUUAAGGUAUAACUAUAUGGACUUUGUCCUGUACUAUGGUCUGACCUGGAUAAUUCAUUCAGUGAUAGAGCACUUUCACAUACCUUACUUUAUUUUAUCCUCACAAUAAUAUCUGAGCCCGCUAGAACUGAUACCAGUCUCCCCAUUUUAAAGGAGAGAUACCCGAGGCUCAGAUUGGUUAAAAGGCUUGCUCAGAAUAAUACAGCAAGGAACAAACCCAAGGCUAAAGUCAAAACCUGCUGGGCUACCAUUUAUAUAUAUGUAACACAAGACAUAAGCUAUUCCAUAGUAUUUUGAGAAAUACUUCAAUCCUUUUUUAUCUUCAUCCUGGUGUUACAAAGGCACUUCAUAUAAAUGGCUGAAGGAUGAAACUUAGGAAAAUGUAUUCAUCAUAUUUAGCUUGGCAGAAUAUCUAUAUGAAAAUUAUGAUGUUUGGGGCGCCUGGGUGGCUCAGUCAGUUAGGCGCCCGACUUUGGCCCAGGUCAUGAUCUCACGGCUCGUGAGUUUGAGCCCCGCGCAGGGCUCUGUGCUGUGAGCUCAGAGUCUGGAGCCUGCUUCAGAUUCCGUGUCUCCCUCUCGCUCUCCCCUCCCCUGCUCAUUCUCAUAUUCUCUCUCUCUCUCUCUCUCUCUCUCUCUCUCUCUCUAUCAAAAAUAAACAUUAAAAAAAUUAAAAAGAAAGAAAAUUAUGAUGUUUAAUAAAAUUAUAGGCAACUGGGUAGAACUUCUGUGGCAGCACUGGGACAAUAGUUUCUUUUAACUUUGUUCUUGAAUACUGUUUUGCAUCCAGUGAAAAGUGGAUAUCAGUGUUCCUGAACAUUUUUAGAAAUAAAAAUGUGCCACUCUAUUCUAUAAAUAUAAUUUUUCCUAAACCCAAUUCCACCACAAUUUUUCUGGAUGAAAAUGUUUAUGGAUGAAGAAUGUGCAUUCACUUAGGGGAAGUAUACCUUUGGGUGGUGGAGGUUCCACUUUUUUAGGAGCAGGAACAGGGACUUUCUUCUCUGGUACAGGUUUCUUUGGUACUUCAGGCACUUAAAAACAUUCAUUUUAAGACAUUAAAAACCACAGGCACAGUAUUAUAUAAAUAACAAAAAGACAAAUGAGAAUAAGACCACAAACGACUAAAUAACAUUGCAUGUCAUGAAAUCCGAAAAGACAUUCAGAUCAUUUACGAUAGACACACAUGACAGACACAACAAUAAAGGCACACAUGUCUGGAACGCUUUCUAAGAUUCAGAUGGUAGACAACAUAAAGAGUGAAGUAGUAUAGAUAAGACUGGAGAUGAAUACGAAAGAUGGAAAGGCAGAAUGCAACACAAAAGAGGCCUUGAUGACUCCAAGGAGAGUUGCUAUACCUCGUGCAGGUACUGGCACCUUAGGUUUAAUUUCUGGAAGAACUUCCUCUUCUUCAGGUACAACUUCUUCCUCAGGUAUGAAUUCUUCCUCCUCAGGAGGAACUUCUUCUUCUUCAGGAGCAAUUUCUUCUUCUUCAGGAGCGACUUCUUCUUCCUCAGGUAGAAACUCCUCUUCCUCAGGUAGAACUUCCUCUUCCUCAGGUAGAACUUCCUCUUCAGGAGCAAUUUCUUCUUCGAAUGGGACUUCUUCUUCCCGAGGUAGAGCUACAGGAACUGGAACUGGCUCGCGUUUCUUGGAUAUCACUUUAAAGAUAUUUAUUCAAUCGUACAAGUGUCACUUUUAUGUACACUAUUCAUAACAAUGGGAUAACAUGAAAAGCAAAUAUUCUGUUAUCAUAGAGCAUUGAUUGUCUCAAAUUCAAUAUCAUUAAGCAUUAAUUGUAAUUAGUGAGGCAGUAUAAUACCAGUUAGUUUUCCUUUUUGCCCUGUUUCUGUAAGAAACUAAUGUACCUUUGGGUGGUGGAGCUUCCACUUUUUUCGGAACAGGUGUUGGUUUCUUUUCUUCUGGGAUGAGCUUCUUGGGCACCUCUGGCACUUUAAAAAUAUUAUUUGUCUUUAAGAAUGUGUUCUUUUAUGUUUUGGAGCAACGGAUAUGAAAAUAAUCACAAGUACCUGACUUUUACAUUUCUAAUCAACAAGGUUUUAAAACAUGCAAUGUUAUGGGGGAAGGUGUAUGUGAAUAUACAUAACUGAAACCCACACUUAAAUGAUGAAGUGAUGUACCUUUUGCGGGUGGAGCCUCUACUUUCUUAGGUACAGGAACUGGCACCUUCUUCUCAGGCACAGGCUUCUUGGGCACUUCUGGCACUUUAAAGAAAUUAUUUAGAGAAAAAUGUUACAUGACAUAAAAUUUUGAGUAUAAGCAUAGUCUCAAAAAAGAUUAAUAAAAUUAUAACCAAGGCAUUUCAAGAAGCAUUUUAUCUUUAAAAUAAAAUUUUUUCUUUUCCAUGAAGGAAUAUUAAACAGUUGCAUCCCCAAAGAGCAUAGAAUUGAACUGGUUAAUUUUUCCUUAUAUGCAAAUGUGAAAUAAAAACAUUUCGCAAGUUCAUGUACCUUUGGCAGGUGGAGCUUCCACCUUUUUAGGAGCCGGUACUGGUACUUUCUCCUCUGGUACAGGUUUCUUGGGUACUUCAGGAACUUUAAAGAUAUCAAGUAGGAUUAGUGUCAAAUUCUUCACCCGUCGAUAAGGACCCAACAAUUUUAGGACUUAACUGAAGCAUCAUAUAAUUUUACUUUAAGAAUGAAAAUAAUAACAGCCACAAAAUAAAGGCAAGGAGAGGCACAAAAUUUAAAUAGAGAACACUGAGAAAACACAGACUGGUGAUAAAGACAACACACAAUGCCUGGUAAAGGGUGAUCUUGUCCAUUUUGGUAUUAUAAGAAUUUACCUUACAGUAAGAACUUUCCACUAAAGACAAAGAGCCAAGCAUUUAGCACCAGCAUGCUUUGAUGGCAAAAUUUAGAGAUGAAUACAUGGUAAACUGCUUUUAUGACCAGUUGGGAGGCCCUUGUCUUGUUAAUAUUGUCAUGGGGAAAGAAGUUUUAUCAAGUUAUACUACGUGAAUAAAUUAUUACAUUAUCCCACUGAUGGAUUAUAAAGAGAUGUACCUUUAGCUGGUGGAGGCUUCUCUUUUUUAGGAAUGGGCACAGGAACCUUCUCCUCUGGCUUCUUAGGAAUCUCAGGCACUUUAAAGAUAUUGUUUAUUGGUAAGUUCUAACUACUAGUAACAACACAUCUGUAUAAAGCACAAUUAACAUUUCUAACAACAGAGAGCAACACACACAAAGUUGUGAACUCAGAAGAUAUUCAUAUGGAGAUUAAGGCUUUUCUAUGGUCAUGUUAUGAAUGGUGGUAUACCUUUUGCUGGUGGGGCUUCCUUCUUUUUGGGAACAGGAACAGGUUUCUUCUCUUCUGGAACAGGUUUCUUGGGGAUCUCGGGCUCUUUAAAGAUAUUAUUAAGAAUUUUGGGAAUGUUGCAUAUAAGAUAUAAAAUGUGAAAAGUAACUGCAGAAAUCAUACUUCAGCAUAAGUGUCUGUUUCUAAAAUAAGCAGAAUUGGUCAUCGGUGCUAAUAAGCCCCAGAGUCUGACCAAAUGAGACACCUAGACUCUAGAGAUGCUGCUGUGUAUCCCUUUGUCAAGAGACAUAAUCUACCUUUGACCGGUAUCACUGGUACCACUUCUUCUUCAGUUAUGAGUUCCUCUUCUUCAUGAAGGUACUCUUCUUCCUCUUCAUAAUAUUCCUCUACUUGGGUGACAACUUCCUCUUCAAAGGCAAUCUCUUCUGGUUCUCGUCUUUUGGGUACUUCUGGCACUUUAAAGAUAUUAUCUUUAGGUUUGACAUUUACCAAUUACUCAAGGAAAUUAAGACACAUAGGAACAUAGCCAUUUGUAACAGAAGAAAGAUCAGGCUUUAUCUUUCCCAGAGAAGAGUUUCACACGUAGAACUGAACAUGACUUUUACAACAAAGAAGACAACACAUUAAAAAGAAUAUUAGGUACCUCUAACAGGUGCUGUUACUUCUUUUUUAGCAACAAGUACUUUUUCUUCUGUGACAACUUUCUUGGGCUUCAAGGGCACUUGAAAUUUAAGGAGAUUUAUUGUCAGAAACAGGCUACCUAGCCAAUGCUUGCUUUGUCAGACUUUAAGCAGACAGAAUAAUUUUACAAGUCUUUCAUGUGAUAGAUAUAAAACUGUUCAUCUAUAAGAAGCUUUAUAUGUUCCAUGGAAAUGCUUCUGAACCUCACUGGGAUAAAAACGGACAAAAAUACUCAAGUAAGUUUGAAGUAGCAGAACCCAGAUGUGAAAUUAUGUUUAGUGUUCAGGUAUCUCUGCUUGUAGGAAACAUCCUUUACUGAAAAGCUAAAUUUGCCUCUGGGUAAGUAUGCUUUCUGAAAGUGCAGAGAAGUUACUUCAUACUUAGAAAAAAAAAAAAAAGACUAGGCACUGAGUUAGAUUUUUUGUUUUUAAGCCUUUAAAAUAAGUUUAGAAUGAAUAAACAGGUAUUAAACCCUGGUCAACACUGUUAUAUCAUUAUAUCAAUUUAGAUAAGUUAGAAAUGUGUCAAAUGGUUACCAAUUUUAAAUCCAAGUAUUCUAUUUUAAAUAUAUUGUAGCCACAGCUGUUGUAUCAUAGGCUAAGGAUACAUUUGCAAACAACUUUUUGUUUUAUAGGUAACAUUAUCUACUUAUCCUAUGUUGACAGAUUUUUCUAUCUAGUAAAUCCUGAUGAUAAAAGACAUACAAAAACAAAAUGAAGCAAAUCAUAGCUACCUUAAUUUUAAAAGAGACAUUAUAAAAGAUCACAAUUUUGGAAGGAAAUCAUUAUACCUUUAACAGCUGGCUCAGCCACCUGCUCUUUUUCACGUUUGGUAACUGAAAUGUGUAUUUUUUCCUCAACAAGUUUCUUUGGUUCUUCAGGCACUUUGAAGACAUUAAUUAUUGAAGAACAUUAAAACCAACCACACAAAUACCAUAUAAAUAAAAAAUACACAAAAACUGUGAAAUGUAAGAAUCAGGACCACAACACAUUCAGUAAAAACAAAAAACAGCAGACAAGGUAGUAAGACACAUUUAUAGAACAUAGGUAACAAAGAUGUUUCUCGUAGUUAUCACUCUGCAAAGUACCUUUGGGUGGUGGAGGUUUGAGUUUCUUGGGAAUGGGCACUGGUACUUUUUCUUCAGGGACAGGUUUCUUCGGCACUUUAAAAUAUCAAUAUUAACAGAUUUAAAAACCAGAUUUCUCAAGAGUAGUAAGAACAAAAAGAAACACAAUGUACAACAUAAUACCGCCCCCCCAUACACACACACAAUUUGUACGUUGCCACUUCAACAAGUGUGUAUAGCAUGACAGACAUGUAGGAAACAUGGGUCUCUUAGAACUGAUAAUAUUUUUCUCACUGUACCUUUAGUUGGUGGGGCCUUUGGCUUUUUGGGAACCGGUUCUUCUUGGACAGGCUUUACUGGGAGAGGCUUCUCGGGUUCUUUAAAAGUACACACAGGGUAUUUAAUGUUAGACUUUGGAACAUAAAUAAAACAUGCUAUUGCCUAAAUGGACUCAAAGAAUUAAAGUAAUAUAUCUUUUAUUUACAGUGUAGCCAUAGCCUCUAGAGCUGAAUGAGAAUCACAGGUUCAAGGAGAUUAAGGCCUAAAAGCCCUAAACAAGCUUACAGUGCCCUUUCCUCCUGGCUCUUAGGUCACUGUAACUUUCUCUUACAUAUUAACAUUUUCAUUUCACUUCAGGUAGAAAAAAAUCAUGGUUAAGACUUCUUUCUAAAUAAUGUUGGCUUUUAAUGCUAUCUGUACAACCACAUAGAAUGUUCUCAAAGUUAAGCUAUGAAGUAUCAGAGAUUGGGUACAUGAAAUAAUAAUAUUGAUUCAUUUCAAAAUUCCAGUAGGAACUUAAUUCUUUGAGUAAAAUAAAGAAAUUGCAGCUGAAGUUAUACUCAACAAAUCUGAUCUUCAUUAGAUAUAACAUAACUGCUUGUGUUAGCCUCCUCUGUCUUUACUUCUGAAGCAGUCUUGUCAAGUUUUUUUUUUAAUAUGAAAUUUAUUGUCAAAUUGGUUUCCAUACAACACCCAGUGCUUAUCCCAACAGAUGCCCUUCUCAAUGCCCAUCACCCACCCCCCCCCCCCCCAUCAACCCUCAGUUUAUUCUCAGUUUUUAAGAGUCUCUUAUGGUUUGGCUCCCUCCCUAACUUUUUUUUCCUUCCCCUCCCCCAUGGUCUUAAGUUUCUCAGGAUCCACAUAAGAGUGAAAACAUAUGGUACCUGUCUUUCUCUGUAUGACUUAUUUCACUUGUCAAGUUUUGAUGAUGCGAACCCAUCUUUUGAGUUUUACAUCAAAUGGAAAACAUUUUUUUUUUACAAAUAUUUUUGACUCAUGGAAAAUACAUUUUUCUUUUUUUUUUUUUUUUUAAUUUUUUUUUCAACGUUUAUUUAUUUUUGGGACAGAGAGAGACAGAGCAUGAACGGGGGAGGGGCAGAGAGAGAGGGAGACACAGAAUCGGAAACAGGCUCCAGGCUCUGAGCCAUCAGCCCAGAGCCUGACGCGGGGCUUGAACUCACGGACCACGAGAUCGUGACCUGGCUGAAGUCGGACGCUUAACCGACUGCGCCACCCAGGCGCCCCGGAAAAUACAUUUUUCAAAAGACUAUUGUACUCAAUAAUAACACAUUUUAGAAUAAGAUAUUCAGAAAUUUCUGAUCAUGUAUUACAAUGAUCAUGGGCCCUUGCAGAUAAACUCUUAACCUUUUUGAGAAAGAAACUUAGGGACAUUUGCUAUUUUGUGUCUAAGCAAAAAUGAGGGGGAAAUAGGUUAGUCUCAGAACCAAAGUUGAAUAGUAACCUUAAGAUUUACGGAGAUUUUUUUCUAAAAGUUACCGAAGAACCAAAAAGUCCUGAAUUUGUCAAAUGAAGUAAAAUUCUUUGCAAAUGGGGGCGCCUGGGUGGCGCAGUCGGUUAAGCGUCCGACUUCAGCCAGGUCACGAUCUCGCGGUCCGUGAGUUCGAGCCCCGCGUCGGGCUCUGGGCUGAUGGCUCGGAGCCUGGAGCCUGUUUCCGAUUCUGUGUCUCCCUCUCUCUCUGCCCCUCCCCCAUUCAUGCUCUGUCUCUCUCUGUCCCAAAAAUAAAUAAACGUUGAAAAAAAAAAUUUAUAAAAAAAAAAAAAUUCUUUGCAAAUGUCUUUGGGCAUCCAAACUUCUAUCCCGUUCUAAUGGAAUCUGAAAGUAUUUAAUGUGGUGUCAGGUGUGCAGUUUUGCUCAUACCUGUGACAUAUUCUUCACGCUCUUUAUACUCUUCAUAAUGCUCAAAUUCACGUUCCUCAUAUUCUUCAUAUUGGUCAUAUUCUUCUGUUGGCUCAUACUCCUCAAAUUCUUUAUAAUCAUCUUCCUCAUAUUCUUCAUAUUCCUCUUCCCGUUCUACCGAAACGGUUUCUUCUUCUUGAGUGUAAGACCAUUCUUUCUCUUCAGUUACAGUUACUUCUAGAAUAACAUUGACAACAGGCAGCAUUUUACUUCAAGCCCAUUUAAGAGUGAUAGUGACGAUGCACUUUGAUUUCAUUCUUAUGUGAUGGAUUCAUGCACUGGUUAUGGGAGACCCUGACUGUCCUUUCUUCCUCAAGGUAUUAAAGAAUGUACAUUUUGCUCUCUAUGAUUACAAAUGUUAGAUGUCCUGCCAUAAGUCAACAUAAGCCAGUAAAGGUGGGAGUCAAAUUAGGAAGUAGCAGGCAAAAAGCUGUAUAGUUUUUUAUUUAGUCAAAGCUCAACAUACCUUUCACGGGAGGAGCUUCUCUUUUUGGAACUUCAACGGAUACCUUUUCUUCUUUAACAGCUCUUUUUCUGAUUUCAGUGACUUUAAAAAGAGUAAUUAUUAAAAGUGAGUUACAGGAUUUUGAAUAUGUACAUGUUAAGAGCUACUGUGUAUGAACCAUCCACAGACAAAGACAACCAUCACCAUGCUCGUCAUUAUUUCUCAUUCACUUGGCAAGAAAAAAUCAAUAGACUGGGAAAUAAACAUGGUCUAUGAUACAAAGGAAUACUUUUUCCUAACUUGCUUAAUGUUUCAAAGAUAUUGAAUGCCUUUAAGAAGGUCAGGGAGUGUUUAUAAGAGACUGCAAAAAAGACACCCAGCCAGCAUAAACAAUGACUAGCGAACAAGCAUUAGGCAGAAGCUUGAGUCACAUAAGUAGUGUCUUCGCCUGAAUUCUAAAGUGUUCUCAAUAAGCUCCACUGGCACCAUGUAGAAAAUCCAGGCUUUAAAAAUUUUGAAGUUUUGUCAAAGACUGCCACACAACACAAUCAUUUCGGCAGAUGAGUUUAGUAUACAGACAAUAACAUAUUAGAAGACGAGUCCAUUUUGAGGAAAUGUACACGUUUGGGGGAGCUUUGCACUUUUGCGGAAAAGAAGGAAGAGAGUACUUUCUGGUAUCAGAAAUGUUGAGUUUUGAAGUGACAGGAAAUAGCGUGUGCAUAUGACUUACUUUAUAAUAAAGUAUUCAGAUUAUUUUCUCUAAAGAUCCCAAUUCCUCUAGGUUAACUUCAGUACCUACAUGCUUCUUUCGAGUUUUGAAAAAAGUUGGUGUACCUUUUGCUGGUGGUUCCUCCUCUCUUUUAGGUUUGAGUUUUGGAAUUUUUUCUUCUGGAACAGCUCUCUUGGGCUCCGCGGGCACUUUAAAGACAGAUUUCACUUUAAAGACUUGUUUCCCUCAUCCAAACCUCCAAAAGGCAGUCAGAGAAUAGUAACUCAAACAUAAAAGACUUGACAUUUGCAUUCUUUCAAACAUACAAAACAACUAGAGCAACAAGAACAACGAACAACACCCAUAUACCCAGUGCAUUUGGUAAAGAGAAUAGAUUAAAUACAAUAUUCUGUGUAUUGAAAGGUCUCAUGUACCUCUUGCUCUUGGAGGCUCUUCUUUUUUAGUCACAGCAACGUGAACUUUUUCUUCCUCAGUAAUUUCCACGUGCCUCUCAGUCACUUGAAAGAUAAUUUUAGGAUUUGGGAGUUAAAUUACUUACUUAAAGUGGAUUUUUUUUUUUUUUGUAUUGGCCAGAAAGUACUGUGAUUUUAGACUAUGACAAUUCACAACACACACACCAAUAAACGUCACAACAGGUUAAUACUCCACCCAUAGAUAAGGCAAUAAUACACCAUUGCCUCCGACAUACACCAGUAACCCCCACACACAAGGUGUGAGCCAAGGUCAGCAGCGAGAGGAUGAAAAGACAAGACACGGUUCUUGUUUUUGUGCUGGAGAAUUUCAUUUACCUUUGGUUGGGGGAGGUUCUUCUUUCUUAACCACUUUUGGAGGAACCCUUUUUUCUGGAACUGGCUUCUUUGGCUCUUCUGGCACUUAAAAGAUAUCAGGCAACACAGUCAAGCACACAACGUGGAAAAUCUUAAACACAGGCAUACGUUUUCUUGUUAGUGUUAUACAAAUCUGAAGAACGUACCAAUUUACGAUGAAAAAGACAGACAUUGUGCAAGAAAGAAUAAAAUAAAGCCAAUAUACCUUUAGCUGGUGGCACCUUUUCCUUUUUAGGAACUGCAGCAGGGAUUUUCUUUUCUGGCACAGUUUUCUUAGGUGCCUCAGGAACUUUAGAAAGAUGAGGUUUAAGAACGUCAGUUUGCGUUACAGAUAAAGUGACAUGUGGGGCUUCGCUUUUUGUAAAGACCAUAUGUACACACAAACAUUAAUGACUGAAUCAGCAAAGAUGUUGAUACACGUGUGAGGACAAAAUUCAGGCAGUCCUCAGAGGCUUUAUAGCUAUUAAAGCAAAGGGUAUCAUAUUCUUUGAGAGAGAACUAUACCUUCAGCUGGUGGUGGCUCCUCUACCUUAGCAGGAAUUUUCGGUUUCAGCACAAUCUUCUUCUCAUGCUUCUCAAGCACUUGAAAAGAUUACAAAAUACACGUGUAGAAAUGCCCAGAUUUCUUUUUUUUUAACUGUUUAUUUAUUUUUGAAAGAGAGAGAGCGCACACAAAUGGGGAGGUGCAAAGAGAGAGGGAGACAGAGAAUCCGAGCAGGCUCUGUGCUGUCAGUGCAGAGCCCAAUGUGCGGCUCAGUCUCACAAACCAUGAGAUCAUGACCUGAGCUGAAACCAACAGUCAGGUGCUUAGGUGACUGAGCCACCCAGGUGCCCCCAGAUUUCUUUUCAAUAAAAAUAUAUGGAAUCUUUUUACUUAGACGUGAUGGCUAUCAAUACUUGCAAUACAAGUGAUAAACUAACCACAAGAGGACAUAAAGAAUGGGACAAGCCAAACACACGUGGGGCUCAAAUUAACACAAGAGUCGGUAUACCUUCGGCAGGUUCGGCCUCCACUCUCUUAGAAAUAAUGUGCAUCUUUUCUUCCACGACAUAUUCCUCAGGCUCUUCCAUCACUUUAAAGACAUCAGUUUUAAAGAAAAGUUGUAGUGCUUUUCAAGUUUAACUUCAGCUGUAAUUUAUUACUUCAAAGAGCAAUUAAAAUAAUAAAAAGUUUAACACGUGCCAGAUCCCCGAUUGUUCCCAUUUAAGAUACCCAAAGAAGUGCAUUUUCGUCAAAGCAUGUGCCUCAAUGAAGCAUGUGAAAAAUAAGUUUCAAUAAUUUAAUUUUCAAGUGUAUCAUAAAGAUAAUAAUGCUUGUAUUCAUAGGAAGAACAGGACAAGUACACGACAUAAAAAACAAUCCUAGUGGCUAAAUUAAUAAGAACACAAGCAUUUGAAGAUAGGUUUCAAAAAUAACAGAGCACUCUAGGUUUGAAGGCUUCAGGGCAGAAACAUACACUUGAGGAAUCAUAAAUGGGUUUAUAAAAAAGCCUGUAUUACAUAUGAAAAACCUACUGAGGACUUGGAAACUGGGUGGUGUAUUUUUUUCCAUCUUUGUGGGGACAGGUAUGGUAGAAGAGACAGGUGUCUUCAUAUGAUUUUUGAAUCUAUGUGUAUAGUAUUAAUUAUAGAAUAGAAUCUAGUUAUAGACACAUCUCUUUACACUAAAAGCCAACUUAAGAGACUACCCAUCCUCUCCCUAAAUCUUCCAGGCUUAAUGAAAACUUAAGAACAUCAUAGAACAUCUCUCUUUUUAACUAGAGUCCAUAUACAGAAAGAGAUUUAUAAUGUGUACUGUCAAAAGUUGAAAUCAGAUUCAUGCAGUGAGAACUUUUUUUUUUUAAUUUUUUUUAACGUUUAUUUAUUUUUGAGACAGAGAUAGAGCAUGAACGGGGGAGGGUCAGAGAGAGGGAGACACAGAAUCUGAAACAGGCUCCAGGCUCUGAGCUGUCAGCACAGAGCCUGACGUGGGGCUCGAACUCACGGACCGCGAGAUCAUGACCUGAGCCGAAGUCAGCCGCUUAACCGACUGAGCCACCCAGGCGCCCCGAGAGCUUUCUUUAUACACAUGUUAUGUUUGGUUUCCCAAACAUGUCUAAAAGGGAUGGGGCCCUCUUUGAUCUAUUAGAUUCCUGACUUACACCCAACACCAUGGCCUUUCCCAGGAAGCACAACAGAACCGGUGGGCUUCCUCUUGGGACUCAUGUGCUGUCUUGCUCUGCUCCAAGCCAUUCUGUUAUGAUUGCCCCUGGGAAUUUUAUAUGGACUUUUCUUCCACGUGGAGAAGAAGUGGGGCACAUUUAUUAGCCAGAAAUGCACUCUCAAGGGCAUCUACAUAUAGAAUUCUAUUUAUCUUUUUAUUAGAAAAAGGGUCAAUUUGUUACAGAGCUUACUGAUUUUUCUUUAAAGCAGAGCUAUGUCGGAACUUUCUUAAGGAAGUUCUUUCAGAUAUAUAGCUUCAGCCAGGGUGCUGCACUUUAACAGUAAACCUAAUGGUAUCUUACUCAUUGAAAAGGACUGAAACAAAGCUUAUUGUUCAAUCCUUAUGAAGCAAUAGAGAACUAGAAUUAUAGGUAUGGGGACAUCUGAAUAGUUAAUUCAAUCAAAGAUAUUACAUCAUUGUUUUCUCCACACAUGAAAUAUAAGAAAAGCCUAUGUGUUCAGUGCUUCACUAUCAAACAUGGCCUUGACUUCUGGAAUAUAAUAACACAAUUUCUUAUUCAUUUAAAAACUGUGAGUUGUGCUAUCAACACUGCUUUAUGUUACCCAUGUUUUAGACAUUAGACUACCAGGUGAAGUUUAUGCUAGCCCACCAUGCUGAAAUCGAGUCCUGUCUACUGAAAGGAUACAUGUGUAUGGCGAUACCUGCACCAUGAGUAACCUAUAAAUAUGAAGCCUUUUCUCUCCCCCUUACCUAUAGCCAAGUAAGAGAGGAUGGACAAGAAAUACACUGGAUGUUUACUCUAAGUCCUGCUCCUGAAUCUUGUGUUUUGAUCAACAGAUACAUCUAAUGAGGCCCACAGAUGCUCACUGAAUUUGUGUCACUUUCAUUAAUCUGAGAAACAAUCUGUGAAAGAAAACAGCCCAUCAAGAUUCCAGAUCAUCUCUGGAUCAGGGCAUUGUUUACCUUCAUAUUCUGUAACUUCCACUUCCUCCUCCUCCUCCUCUCUUUCCUCUUCUCUAUAAACUGAAACGGACACUCUUUCCUCUUCUGCUGAAUAACUCCACUCCUCCUCUGCAGAUAUUUUAAAAGAUAAUAUUUAAUGUAAAUUCAGUCUCCUGAAAUACUGGUAAUAGCCAUAUGUUCCCUACAGAUAGAUAACGGUUCUUCUCUCUGCUGAGGGCGUGGCUUCAUAGUGCUUCCCUCAUUACAUGGAAGUGAGAGCUGAUUUAAGAUAAGAGAACAGUACAGCCCAAGACUGAGAAGAAUAUUCAGAUGAUGUCCAAGUGUGGCCACUUUGGACAAUUAUCACAUUUUCAGCACCCCAUUCACUGUCUUAGAAUGAUUGAGGACCAAUGCAGACACGAAAGACUCAGUCUCAGAAAGCUAUGGCAUGUAGACACCGAUAAGGACAACUUGUAAGGUAAACAGUCACAUCUGGAGAGAAGGACAUUGAGGAAACACACACACCCAUUUUCCCCCUCACUUCUGAUUAUAUACCUUCAUGUCGCAUGACUUCCACUCUUUGAGGAACUGCAACAGAUAGUUUUUCUUCGGCAGCAAAUCUUUUUUCUUCUACCACAGUUUUCUUAGAAACUUCAGCUUUAAAAAAGCAUUAAAGUUGAAGUUUAAAUUUUAAGAAUCUUAAUAAUUUUCUCUCCCUAGGAGUUUGGGUAAUAAAUACACAAUACACCGUUCUCACUAACACAAUGGGAAAACAAGUUACGUAACAUAUCACAAGGAUGUACACAUAACAAUUCAAUCAGAAGAGAGACAGAGGGUCACGCAGGAAGACAUGUGAUGGAACAAAGGAAGAAUUCACAAGCUGAAAGAUUUUUGUCAAAUCCUACCUCGGGGAGGAGGAGCUUUCUUAGCGACAGGAACUGGCACAGGAACUUUUUCUUCAGGGACGGGUUUCUUACGUAGAGCUGGCACUUUAGAAACAUGUACUUUUAGAACCUCAGAGUCAUCUCACCGAAGGCCAACCCCAAACACAGAUAUAUACCCACAAUGCACUCAAUAUCACAGAACUAACAAAACUAUCAUUUGCCUUGUCACAUAAUAUUAUGUAAGAUGGUUCUUGGAAAGAGAGAGAGGCGAUACCUUUUGGUGGUGGAACUUCUUCCUCUUUUUGAGGAACGGGUCUUUUUUCUUCAGGAACUUUCUUCUUUGGUAUUUCUGGCACUUAAAGAAUAGUAUUUGGUUUUAAAAUUCCCAGAACGGCAAAAUAAAUGAGCAACACAGAAUUGGCAUGCCCAUGAAAGAAGACAUGCAAUUAAAGAAGCCUCAAGGAAAGACAAGGUUAUUUAUGAAGAUGGAAUUAAGUACCUGCUGGUGGUGGAGAUUCUUCUCUUUGAGUAACAAUGGUUAUUUUUUCUUCCGUGACAACCCUCUUCUGUACUUCAGGAACUUGAAAAGACAUGAAUUUUUUGAAAUGAAUUUAUAUUUUCCCAAGUAGCUAAUUUACAGCUAUUUUGUAAAAGAGUAGGCAGGUGGACAGGCACUUCUGUUGAAUUAUUACUCACACCAUAAAACACUCAUUUUGAAUUAAAGUAACUCAACACAUAAGGAAACACAAAAGUGUUUUGUACUCAAGACAUAAAAAUAGGGCUCCUUUACCACGCAAGACACUGUACCUUUAGCUGGUGGAACUUCCUUUUUCUUUCCGACAGGAACAGGAAUCUUUUCUUCAGGGACCGGUUUCUUUGGCACCUCUGGGACUUAAAGUUUUUUAAACAGAACAUUAGUUCAGACAUAUACCACUUUUAUGAAUGGACAUAGGCACAUACACAAAUCUUUAGUAGUUAAUUAAUGUUAUAGAGUUUCGAUGUAUUGGCAAAAUAACACAGAAAAUUAGACUAUAAUGUUACAAAGGUCAUGAUGUGAUAAAUGCCACAAGUAGUGUUACAGAAGCAUUCAAGCAAUUAAAAGUGAGUUAUAUACACAAAAAGAUAUGUACAUAACUUAUUUACAUAUCGGUAUGCUUUUGAUAAAACAAACCAGUGACUACACAAGCAAUAUAGUGUGUAGAUAUAGAAUAUAGCAAAGUGUCGUUAUGCUUUGUAUGGAGAAAUGGAAUCCAUAAUGACAAUGGAGUUAAUUUAUCUAAGACUAUCUUAGACUGAGACAUAUUUAGAAUAAUUGUAUCUAUAUGUUAGCAUUUUUUUUCCCAUUUCUCUUCUGAUUUUGUUUGUUUUUGAUGCAACUGUAGUGUGUUGAAAAAUCAGGAAACACUCAUUCUAGAGUAAAUUGGCUUCUCCAUCUGAUACCCAUGUGUCAUUGGCUUUGGGGAGCUCUGUGUGUGAAAUUUUGUGGGUAUGUGCAUAUAUGCUUUUCUCUAAGAGGCUUCAUUGUUUUCAAAAGGAUCUCUGACCCAAAAAGGUUAACAACAGUUUAGUUUAUCUAAGUGUUGAUGGUGUGGAAUUUUUAACCGGCAGAUGUAUUUUAUUUUAACAGGAUGCUUUACUGGCAAUAAUUGUUUCCAUUUCAAACAGGAUAGCAGUUUUUGUGAACUCCUGCACUUCUCUACUUGCAUUUGUAACAUCUCAAUGUAAUUAUACAGAUACACAUUUCUGUCUGUAUAUAUUAUCUAUAUAUGGGUGUUUAUGCAUGUCUAUAUAUGUUACUAUGUGUAUUUAUUUCAAUGGUGAGACAUGUCUCUGUGUCUCCUUCAGGAGUGAUCAAGUGGCUUUGGUAUGAGUAUUGGUUUUAGUAAUAUGAUCUUUUAAUAUAUUUUAUCUUCAUAUACUCAUUAUAUUUUAAUGAUUAGAUAAUCAGAAAUCAUUUUACAAAUCACUCGAUUAAAAAAAAAAAAGACCCAGAAUUCUGAAACAGUCAAGAGUUUGAGAAAGAGGAGAAACAGAUUUGAUUCAGGAAGAAACUGGACAAUGGAAGUCAGGCAAAAUGGGAACAUGAUGAUUUCAGUAAGCCUAAAUUGGAUGCUACUGAAUUCUUGCUGAAUCUCUCUGUAACAGACCAGAUGUGUGCAGUCUGUAGUUUCACUGCAUCCAUAAAGUCUGUCUUAUACCACCACCUGCCCCCACAAAACAAACCAAAUUCAAAAGCAAAGUAAAGGAUUAGCACAUCGAAUCCAAACAUACCUAGACCAAAAGGCCUCUGACUAGGUAAUAGAUAAUCGUAACAUUUAUGGCAAAUACUGACAUUCAAUUAAAGUCGGGAAACACGGUGAAAGUACAUGUCGAAAAUCAAUGUUUCCCACUAUUCUAGACUCACCACUAUGGACUUUUCAGAAGAGUGACAGUUACUAGCAGCAUUGUACAAUCUUUGUCUAGUUAAUAUUCAGUUCUGCCAAACACCGUCAGAAGGUUGCUACUCUUUGUCUCUCAUUAUAACUCAUGGAAGUGUUUUGUAUUAAGAAAAACAUCCCAUAUAUAAGGGGUGAAAGAGUUCUUCUUCCAAACACGCCUGCUGAAUACGAGUUUCACAAAAUUUCUUCUUUCUCUGAGACAGGAAAGAUAUUAAAAAUUUAAGACAGCAGUUUGACAUAGUUACUUCUUUUAAGAACACUUUGGUGAUGUCUUUGGGAUGUUCAGUGUCAUAAAUAAUGCAUGCCAAGAGUACAGCCCUGGAAGGUGGUAAACAAAUGAAAAACACGAGGGGCAUCUAAAAGACACAAAAUACUAAGCAUAGCAUGCGGUUGAAGACUACAUAAAACAAAAGACUGGCAUUUGAGGCAAAGGGUUGCCCCAUGAUCAGUUCUGGUGUACCUUUUGGGGGAGCAGCAGGUUCCUUUUUGGGUACAGGAAUGGGCUUUUUCUCCUCUGGCACAGGUUUCUUGGGAACUUCAGGAACUUUAAAGAUACCAUUGUUGAAACAGUGUUGAGAAUUCGAGUCUCCUUCUGAGACAUUUAAGAUUAUACUAAAGCAUAAAUCCUCAGUAAGAGUGUAAGAAUUUAGGAAGUAAUUAAACAUGCUCUACUUGUGGUAGAAAUGUAUGCUAAAUAAAUCAGUACCAUAGAGACACUACAUACAUUCCAUGAAACAAAGACCCAGUUAGUAUGGUCUAAAUGUUACUGAUACUUGUAUAAUACAUUACCACAAUUAAUGAAAUAAACAUACACAGAACUAAAUACAUUACAAAUGGUUGACAGAUGCUGUUUCGUUAAUACACAGAUCCCAUUGAAAAAGAUACAAAAAAAAAAAAAAGACAGACAUGGAGAAAUUUUUUUCCCAAAAUAUUAUUCUACCUUUGGCUGGUGGGGGCUCCACCUUUUUAGGAACGGGAACAGCAACCACUUCUUCUGGGACUGGUUUCUUAGGUGGCUCAGGGACUUUAAAAAAGAGUGCCAUUUUUGAGAAAUCUUGUGUUUUUACAACAAGGUAUAUGUGGUUGCAAGGUAGUGUUAAAAUAAAGUGUAGACAUUUCUCUUUUAUGACAAACGAAUGCAAGAAACUUCUACGUGAGAAACGAGUGUGAAGAGAACUGAAAAUGUGGCUGUUAGUCACCUUCGACUGGACUGCAGGAGCCUCCACUUUCCUAGAAGGUGCCCCAGAUGCCAGUUUUAGAAACUUCACAUGUACAAAGCGACUGCAUUAUAAUUGCAUUAGAUUAUCUUAAAUAGUUUUUGUAUCCUAAAUAUGUAACGAUUUGGGGAGGGGGUGUGGGGGAACGGGAGCCCUAAUUUGUAGCAGCUGCCAUUUUCCAAUUUCUGUGAUGGUGUAAACACUCCCUCCCUGGCUACUGAGCAUGGUGACAUUGUCAUGGAGUUGGGAAGAGAUGUGCAGUUGCCCACCGCAAUCCAGUACUUCGACUACGUAGGCACAAUAGAUGGAAACAACCUCAGAGACAGAGAUAAUAAUAAUAAAGUGCAGUAAAAGUGGAAGCAGAGAGUUUUAACUAUGAUCAUGGUUUUUAAUAUAAUUUGUUUAAUUGUAAGUUCAUAUAGUUUAACUUUCAGUCAUGGAGGUAUUGCACACUGGGUCUCAGCAUCCCUGAAACUUAACCAUCAGCUCUGGGGGAGUUGGCAUGAGCUGGCUCCAGGACAUCAAAUCUCUAUUUCCAAAAAGCUGGUUGCUAGAUUGUAAGGUCUCUGAAGCAGAGAACAGAGUUUCCAUUUAUGCUCAUUCCUCUCUCUUGUGUGCUCCUCAUGGUCUCCCAUCCCCCUGUAAUGUCCAUUGUACACAGUGGCCAUAGGUCUGCUGACCGUGUGACCAAAUCCAUUAUGCAAUAUUAACAUGUCCGGAUGCUUGGAUCUGCUAUGGAAAUUUUAAAAGAUUUUAAACUUAGAAGGAAUCACUAAUACCUUUAGGUGGAGGCUCAGUCUUUUUGGAAACAGCAACAUGAAUUUUCUCUUCAGUAACAGUUUUCCUUUGUACCUCAGGGACUUUAAAAAAAUGUACAUUUUAAUUACUGGUGUGCCAUAUUGUGGGUGGUAAUUAUAAUUUACAAAGAAUAUUGAAAUACGAAUUAAAACAGAGACAAUGUGCAAUGAAAAGAUGACAGAGAGCUACAAGGAGACAGAGAUGCCUAUAGAAUCACAAGUUAGGUAAGAAGAAGAGGGAUAAAAAUUCAUCUGACGCCCUUCCAUCUGAGCCCCCAAAUUCAAAUGUGCCUUAUACCUGUGACUGACACUUCCUCCUCUGUGUGAGAAGCAAAGAACAUCUCUUCUUCUGAAAUAACCAUCUUCUUUGUAUGCACAGCUGGGACUUCAAAGAGAGCAUUUCACAUUUAGUAUUUGUUUUUCUAAGACAAGAUACCAGAUCAAAUACAUAGAUUGCAUACUCUGUGUAAGUCUUUAGAUACAGAAUGAAUGGGUUAAUAUGAGAGCUUGAGAAUAAAGUCAGUAUUGACAAGAAAACAAAUCAUGUUUUGAUAUAUAAGGACAAACAACCCAUGCAGCCUUUACCAAACAUUAUUAAGUGGGAAUCAAAUAGACACAACUUCUUCACACAUAAUGUGGUGCUUUUCCAAAUCCAUUACGGUUUCUUCACAUGAACAAGAGGAUGGGGAAUAUUAUAUGCAAUGGGAUGCAUUGCAUAGUAAAGUUAGAAGACUAUUCAUUAAACAAAGCCUUCCUUAGAUUAAAAAAAAUUAUGUAAUUUUAAAGCAAAAUUAGAAACAAAGGGAAUGUUAUUAUGUCCUUAAGUUAUGCAUUAUGUGCAACUCGACAUAAAAUAUAUACUGUAUAAACAUGUCUUCAUGUUGGUAGUUUCAGGUUUGUGAAUUGUUUAGUAAUAUAUGUACACAUAUCCAUAGACAUAAAUAAAAAUGUUUAAAACUUGUAGCUGGAAAGACAAAGAUGUAUACCUUUCACUUCAAUUACUUCUUCCUGCACUGGAGUCCGAGAAGGUUUU